UCCAAGGAGGCCAAAAAAAGAAAUGUAGAAAAUAAAUAUUUAUAGCCCAAACCAGCCCAAAAGUGACCGAUUCAGGUGAAUCACUCCAAGACCCUAUUAAAUAGGGUUUCCUAAUUUUUAUUUAUCUGUCUCUUUUUCUUUUCUUCUCAUUUCUUGCUGCUACUGAGAAUGUCUGUUAUUGCUUCCAAACGCCGGUCUGUUCCUUUUUUUGUUGUAGGUUGUAAACUAUCUUCACGUCUUGGAGGUCGAUAUUUCUUGCUCAUCUUGUAAAAAUAUGUAAUUCGGUAGAGGUCCAAGAGUUUAUGUGAAACUCAAAAGAAGAUUAGAACCCUGAAUUCAAGGUCUGAUGUUUUUUGUACAUUCCCUUACUAUUUUGCGUUCUUUUGUUUCCCUUUCUCUUUUUGAUUCAUGUCCCUUUUGUAGUUGAAGUAGAAGCCGAGAAAACUGUGUGGCUCCUAGUUUCUUUCUUUGUCUUAGUUGGAUGUAAGCUAAAACUCGCUGAUCUAGUCCCAGAACCCUCGUUUUUUAAGAGAAUCUUUUGUUGGCUGAUCUAGCUUAGCUAGCUAGCUUUCUCAUAGAUAUUUUGACCUUAGGGUGGUCACAAACUUUGAUGUAAAUAUAAUAUUUGUGAGACUCAGUGGCACUUAUUUGCUUUCCUAUCAUUCUUGGUUAAAAGUGUUAAUUAUCUUUAUUGUUCUAA